rnacentral:rRNA from 1 species
GAUGAACGCUGACAGAAUGCUUAACGCAUGCAAGUCGAUGGGGAAGUGGUGCUUGCACCAUGGUAACCAUGGCGGACGGGUGAGUAACGCGUAAGGAACUUACCUGCUGGACCGGGAUAACAGCAGGAAACUGCUGACAAGACCGGAUAAGGUCAUUAAGCUGCAUAGCUUAGUGAUGAAAGGAGACGCCUGCGGAGAGCCUUGCGUCCUAUUAGCUAGUUGGAGGGGUAACGGCCCACCAAGGCGAAGAUAGGUAGCCGGCCUGAGAGGGUGGACGGCCACAAGGGGACUGAGAUACGGCCCUUACUCCUACGGGAGGCAGCAGUGGGGAAUAUUGGACAAUGGGGGCAACCCUGAUCCAGCAAUUCUGUGUGCACGAAGACGGUUUUCGGAUUGUAAAGUGCUUUCAGCAGGGAAGAAGGAAGUGACGGUACCUGCAGAAGAAGCGACGGCUAAAUACGUG